rnacentral:rRNA from 1 species
CGACCUGAGAGGGUGAUCGGCCACCACUGGGACUGAAACACGGCCCAGACUCCUACGGGAGGCAGGCAGUAAGGAAUUCUUCAACAAUGGACGAAAGUCUGAUGGAGCAACGCCGCGUGAACGAUGAAGGCUUUCCGGUCGUAAAGUUCUGUUGUAAGGGAAGAACAAGUGCCGCAGGCAAUGGCGGCACCUUGACGGUACCUUGCGAGAAAGCCACGGGCUAACUACGUGCCAGCAGCCGCGGUAAUACGUAGGUGGCAAGCGUUGUCCGGGAAUUAUUGGGCGUAAAGCGCGCGCAGGCGGCCUCUUAAGUCUGAUGUGAAAGCCCCCGGCUCAACCGGGGAGGGCCAUUGGAAACUGGGAGGCUUGAGUAUAGGAGAGAAGAGUGGAAUUCCACGUGUAGCGGUGAAAUGCGUAGAGAUGUGGAGGAACACCAGUGGCGAAGGCGACUCUUUGGCCUAUAACUGACGCUGAGGCGCGAAAGCGUGGGGAGCAAACAGGAUUAGAUACCCUGGUAGUCCACGCCGUAAACGAUGAGUGCUAGGUGUUGGAGGGUUUCCGCCCUUCAGUGCUGAAGCUAACGCAUUAAGCACUCCGCCUGGGGAGUACGGUCGCAAGGCUGAAAACUCAAAAGGAAUUGACGGGGACCCGCACAAGCGGUGGUAGCAUGUGGUUUAAUUUCGAAGCAACGCGAAGAACCUUACCAACUCUUGACAUCCCCCUGACCGGUACAGAGAUGUACCCUUCCCCUUCCGGGGGCAGGGGGUGACAAGGUUGGUGCCAUGGCUGUUCAUCAACUCGUGUCAUGAAAAUGUUUGGGUUAAGUCCCGCAACGAGCGCCAACCCUUAGUCCUUACUUGCCAGCAUUUGAUUGAGGCCACUCUAAGGGAGACUGCCGGUGACAAACCGG